ensembl:lncRNA
AUACAAUUCCCUCCGUAGUCUCCAUUUACCAUACCGAAACAUGCCGACUUUAUAACAAAUAAAGUGAGUUAAAGUAAAGCAACCCGGGAUUGGACAACUUUCUUCAAGAAUAUGCAACAGCUUCUUUCUCACUCAACUACUCAAUUCUCAUGUCACUAGUACCUCCUCUGCUGAAUUCUGACAUUCCCUGCUACGGUCCUUCCUUCAUACCUUCCUUCCGCAUAGACACCCCCUCCUGUUACUCGGGUCCAAUCAGGUGGCUGAUGAUCACUCAUCGCACCUGCCGACCUUUUCAUAUUCGGGUUUCAGAGAAACGUGUCCCAAUGUGGGCCACGUCUCCCUCGACGAGCGGAGGCGGGCCUAAGUGCCCCUCCCCCCCUGCCUUUAUUCAAACUCCAGAGUGACGGGGACCUGCGAAAGGCCCGCGACUACCCCAUUGCGGUAAGAGCGUAGACAUAGCCACUCCCGUCCCGAUUUCGGUUUUACCCCGUGUCCAGCAGUCGAUUCGCAACGUACCAGAGUCCGGCAAGCUGUACGCCCACCGACAAGCCCACACGAACACCUCGCCACCUAAGUGCCGAGGGCCGGGCAGCCAAGCCCGCAGGCGCAACGCCUCUGACGGAGUUCGGGGGGGGUUUCUCUCCUGCUACUGACCCCGGUGCGGCUCUAAUUCAGCUGCUAGGUGCCAGCCGAGGCGAUCCGCCACGACCCCGGGUGGAGCCGCUACAGCAGAGUGCCAUCACCCAUCUUGUGAGCUGUUGAGGGAGAACAACCACAGGCUGCAGAGGGAAAAUGAUUCUCUCAAGGCAAAAAUAGCAACAUUGAAAUUGCUGCCAGACGUUUUGCAGAAGAUGGAGGAGUUUCUCCGCUCAGCACCAAGACCAACGACAACACCAGCACCAACAGCAGUUCCAGCACCAGCAACAGAAGACCCAUCACCAGCUCCAGGUCCAUCAUCAGCAUCAGCAACAGAGGCCCUGGGCCACUCUAUGCUGCAAAGUUGAAGUUCACCUACGUAACUAAUACGAACAUAAAAGCAUUUAUACGACAAAAGCUGAACAAUGCUGCCAAAUUUCAGAAACAAUAAAUUAUCAACUGUUUAAAGAAAGUUAAACUUUUGUUCUAUUUUUUUUUGU